rnacentral:RNase_P_RNA from 1 species
CAAGGUAAGCGGAUAGCCGCCCCGACAUCACGUCGGGGAGGAAAGUCCGGACUUCCCCCGAGUAAUCGGGGUCGUGGCAGUGGGUAACGCCCACCGGGAGUAAUUCCAGGGAAAGUGCCGCAGAGACAAUACUAGCCAUUGCUUUGCAAUGGUGAAAGGUGAAAAGUUGCUUGGUGUUAUUUGUUCUCGAGAUAAAUAGCUACAAGCUUCGCCCCCGAGUAAUCGGGAUGACGUGGUAAACCCUGCCUGAAGCAAGAACAAAGCCAGCGCUUU